rnacentral:misc_RNA from 1 species
AACCGCCGUAUACCGAACGGUACGUACGGUGGUGUGAGAGGUCGAAACGGGAACUAAUCCCGUUUCUCCUACUCGAU